UGUUAAAAAUUCCAUCCAUUUAUAUUGUUAAAAAGUGGUGUGGUUGAUGAAAUAACCAGAAAAUGAUAUGUGAUGAACCAAUUGUUAACAACAAAAAUGGAUAAAAUUUUUAAUA
rnacentral:pre_miRNA from 1 species